rnacentral:lncRNA from 1 species
GGUGAAGGCUGGCCGGGCGCGGGGGCCGUGCUGAAGAGGGGCAAGUGAGAGCGGAGGGAAUGGAGUGCUUUCAAAGAACUUUGACAUGAAAAGGGAGGUUUUGCUCUUUACUUGGAGUUACCCAGCUGGUUCGUGACGGCCCUAGAAAUGCAUUGCUCUAACUGCUACUCCAGUGGUCCUUCGAUCCUAUCAAGAUUCAAACUGUCCAGAAACCGGGCUGGGCCUCACCUCAAAAUAUCUUGAGUCUUCCUGCUGCUCACCAGCUUCAACACCGCAUUCUACUGUGUAUCUUACCUGAGACACUGCAAAUCGUCGUGAAUACUGUGCCCACUAGGACGCGCUGGACCACAGUGCAGUUGCAGACCACCGAGGAUAUAACUAUUAGACACAGUUCCAAGAUUAUUGCCCGUCAUGAAGAAGUCUA